AUUGAACGCUGGCGGCAGGCCUAACACAUGCAAGUCGAGCGGCAGCGGGAAAGUAGCUUGCUACUUUUGCCGGCGAGCGGCGGACGGGUGAGUAAUGCCUGGAAAUUGCCCAGUCGAGGGGGAUAACAGUUGGAAACGACUGCUAAUACCGCAUACGCCCUACGGGGGAAAGCAGGGGACCUUCGGGCCUUGCGCGAUUGGAUAUGCCCAGGUGGGAUUAGCUAGUUGGUGAGGUAAUGGCUCACCAAGGCGACGAUCCCUAGCUGGUCUGAGAGGAUGAUCAGCCACACUGGAACUGAGACACGGUCCAGACUCCUACGGGAGGCAGCAGUGGGGAAUAUUGCACAAUGGGGGAAACCCUGAUGCAGCCAUGCCGCGUGUGUGAAGAAGGCCUUCGGGUUGUAAAGCACUUUCAGCGAGGAGGAAAAGUUGAUGCCCAAUACGUAUCAACUGUGACGUUACUCGCAGAAGAAGCACCGGCUAACUCCGUGCCAGCCGCCGCUGUAA
rnacentral:rRNA from 1 species